GCAGCUUAAUGAGUUAACAAUUCUAUAGUUAACCCAAUUCUCUAUAGUUAACCCAAUUUGAGCCCCAGUGCGCGCUACUUAUUAUUUUUUUACUUGUUUAACGCCAGACGAUUUUACUUGUGGGGAAGCUCUGCAGCUUAAUGGGUUAAUAGAUGCGAGUCGGUUUAAUAUGUUAUUAUUCAUGUCUGGAUCUAGGAACUUCAAUUAUUUAUGUACAUGCUGAUUAAUUGUUCAAAAGGCUUAAAUUAUAGCAUUCAAGCUUUUGUUGGUAGGCAAGGCCGUAGCGAAGAGGAUACAGAAG